UACGUAGGGGGCAAGCGUUGUCCGGAAUCAUUGGGCGUAAAGCGCGUGUAGGCGGCUCGGUAAGUCAGCUGUGAAAGUCCAGGGCUCAACCCUGGAAUGCCGGUUGAUACUGUCGAGCUCGAGUCCGGAAGAGGUGAGUGGAAUUCCUGGUGUAGCGGUGAAAUGCGCAGAUAUCAGGAGGAACACCAAUGGCGAAGGCAGCUCACUGGGACGGUACUGACGCUGAGGUGCGAAAGCGUGGGGAGCAAACAGG
rnacentral:rRNA from 1 species